rnacentral:misc_RNA from 1 species
UUUCCGUAGGUGAACCUGCGGAAGGAUCAUUAUUGUAUAACCGAGUUUCGAGGGCUGUCGCUGACCCGAAAGGUCGUGCACGCCCCAGUGCCCUCACGCACAUCCAUCUCACCCCUAUGUGCACCACCGCGUGGGUCCCCCUUUGGCUUGUUCGGAGGGGGGCUUACGUUUUCACACAAACUUUGUAUGCAGUGUAGAAUGUAUUUUUUGUUUUUGCGAUCAAGCAAUAAAUACAACUUUCAACAACGGAUCUCUUGGCUCUC